rnacentral:rRNA from 1 species
UGAGGAAUAUUGGUCAAUGGGCGCAAGCCUGAACCAGCCAUGCCGCGUGCAGGAUGACGGUCCUAUGGAUUGUAAACUGCUUUUGUACGAGAAGAAACAUCCCGACGUGUCGGGACUUGACGGUAUCGUAAGAAUAAGGAUCGGCUAACUCCGUGCCAGCAGCCGCGGUAAUACGGAGGAUCCAAGCGUUAUCCGGAAUCAUUGGGUUUAAAGGGUCCGUAGGCGGUCUUGUAAGUCAGUGGUGAAAGCCCAUCGCUCAACGGUGGAACGGCCAUUGAUACUGCUGGACUUGAAUUAUUAGGAAGUAACUAGAAUAUGUAGUGUAGCGGUGAAAUGCUUAGAGAUUACAUGGAAUACCAAUUGCGAAGGCAGGUUACUACUAAUUGAUUGACGCUGAUGGACGAAAGCGUGGGGAGCGAACAGG